UGGGUUGGCGGGCUCUUUGCUUAGGCAUCGAACCGUCCACGUACGCUCCACGUCAGUAAUGCAUCAAGAAUUUCUUGUGCAUCGAACGGAUUCCUGUAUUUUCUACCUAUUGUAAGGAAUGGUGCCUCUUGUUGACCCUUUCCAAAUCCUUCCUUGCGGGAAGGAGGAGGACAUCGUAGUAGUGCUUGUGUCCCGAGCAUUGGGCGUGCCUUUUGGUGUGCCUUGCGACGGCCCUCAAGUUACUACUUGAUAUCUCGGAUGCAGAAAAUUCGGUGGGCUUGGGGUUUUACGGCCCCUUGAUGUCCAAUUCAAAGCGUUUUGUCGCUAGACACGUACGAUUGCUGUGCUCGUUGCGGGAUCUCUCGCAAUGAGUCGGCGUCGACAAAGGAAUGCUACCUGGUUGAUCCUGCCAGUAGUCAUAUGCUUGUCUCAAAGAUUAAGCCAUGCAUGUGUAAGUAUGAACUAAUUCAGACUG
rnacentral:misc_RNA from 1 species